rnacentral:lncRNA from 1 species
AGCAGCAGCGGAAGCAGCAGCAGUAGCAGCAGUGAGGAUACCAGCAGCAGUACGGGUGGCGGCAGCAGCAGCAGUAGCAGCGGGGAUAGCGCUGGUGGCGACGCGCUUGGCGGGAGCGUUGGAUACAGAGGUCACCAACACUGUACGGAUCACCGCAGCGGCGAAGAGCGCCGUACAGUACACGUACGGCACGGCGGCGAUGGCAAAAUUAGGCACAAGAGUCGGUCGCGGGGCAGCAGCGAUAUGAAACACAGCAAGCGGCGACAACGCCGCGCAGCAGCAUGGUCCGAGGACUUGGAAUGUGGGAAGCGGUCUCGCGGCGCCGAUGCCAAAACAGGCAAUACAGGACCGCGUCGCGGCGGCGGCUCGCGCGCAGAGGUGGCUGGCGGUUUGACGGACGGCGAGCGGCCACGGAAGCGAGCUCGCGGGCCACCCACGGCAGGCGUCGUGGAAGCCGGCGGCAGCGGCGGCGGCGGCGGCGGCGCGACGGACGUGAGGUGUAGCGCUCAGGAGUCUCCGAAGGGCACUAUGCCAGUGGAUCACCGUUUAGCAUCGCCACGCAGCGCCAACGUGUCGCAGCGGCCCUCUUGACCACGGCAACGCGGCGGCAGUACCGGUAGCGGCAUCGGCGGCGGCGCCGCCGCCGUCAGGUGUGACCCCGGCGGAAUGGCAGUUGUUCCAGGAGUGGCGGCGGCUGCAGCAGCAGCAGCAGCAGCCGACUGGGGCGGCGGCGGCAGCGGCGGCGGGGGCUGCGAACACCCGUGGUGGCAAUGACUGCGCGCAUCAUCUCAACAAUCCUUCCAACACAGACAAGCUCAGUCUCCGAUAAUAGCUGCUAUUCUAGGAUUGCCUGUAGUGCAGGUGCGUCUAUCUGCCUGAUCUGUCUGUCUGUCUGUCUGUCUGUCUGUCUGUCUGUCUUUGUAUAUAUCCGCUGAUAGGUCGUUCUGCUGAGGGUGUUGCCCCCUGUUUUCUGUUGUUCAAGUAAACUGAAUCCCGGGGCUGAGGCGGGUUUGGGUCAGUGUUGUUCUUGGUGUUGGGACUUAGGGUUUUAUAAAAUGACAGCGGAAACCGCCAACUGUCAACUGCUAGUUGGAUGUUGUUGGGUUCCAGGCAAGGGGAUUGUGGGAGAGGGGGAAAGGCGAGAGAGGGUCCCUGGGGGGCUCCCUCCUUGAAGAAUUCGUUUGUGUGUGGGGGGGGGUGUAUGUGUGCGCGUGUGUAUGUGUGCGUGUGUGUGUGUGCGUCCUGUAGGGAUCUUGCUGGCUUGAUAAAUAUUGAGUAAAUGCCUCCUCGCCAAGGGAGGAGGAUGUUAUACACAUGUGAACAACGAACAGCAACGCACGAGGUCCUUGAGCAGCUACGUGAAAUUGUUUUUCUGUCUUUUAGCUGUCUUUUUCCCUUUCUCAAGCCGGUCUGCAGUAUUUCGGUGUUGGUGGUUGCUUGAGCAUGUCCCCCUAAAGGUGGCAUCUGUUGUCGCUUUUCCUGCGCCGUGUCGCCGACGGAUAGGCCGACGGAUACGCCGACACCACCCAUGCUGUGUGCUAUGUGCUAUCGAACCUGGACUUUGAUGCGACGUCUAAAAUGAGGCCUGGAAGGAGGGCUUUCAGUUUUAAGGCUUUGAUUUGACUGGGGGGUUUUAAGCAUCGAUGUGGUUGUUAAGCGCGAAAACGCACAGCUGAGUAGAACAAAAGAGUUAAAGUUUGGGGGAUGUCUUUUAGUGGCUUUUAGUGGCUGCGAGUCGCGCAAGGUUGAGGGGGGCUGCGUGCGAGGAUGAGGGGCGGCUGGGUCGUGAGAUUGAUGGGCAGACGGGGCUGGUGGGGAGCUAGAAAUGAGACAGGGCGUGCAACGGUAUGGUUGGUGGUGGGGUGGGGAAGAAGGGAAUGGCUGGCUGGCUGUGUGCACUCGUUAACCCUCCUCAACCCAUAUAACGUGNNNNNNNNNNNNNNNNNNNNNNNNNNNNNNNNNNNNNNNNNNNNNNNNNNNNNNNNNNAGCUCGCGGGCCACCCACGGCAGGCGUCGUGGAAGCCGGCGGCAGCGGCGGCGGCGGCGGCGGCGCGACGGACGUGAGGUGUAGCGCUCAGGAGUCUCCGAAGGGCACUAUGCCAGUGGAUCACCGUUUAGCAUCGCCACGCAGCGCCAACGUGUCGCAGCGGCCCUCUUGACCACGGCAACGCGGCGGCAGUACCGGUAGCGGCAUCGGCGGCGGCGCCGCCGCCGUCAGGUGUGACCCCGGCGGAAUGGCAGUUGUUCCAGGAGUGGCGGCGGCUGCAGCAGCAGCAGCAGCAGCCGACUGGGGCGGCGGCGGCAGCGGCGGCGGGGGCUGCGAACACCCGUGGUGGCAAUGACUGCGCGCAUCAUCUCAACAAUCCUUCCAACACAGACAAGCUCAGUCUCCGAUAAUAGCUGCUAUUCUAGGAUUGCCUGUAGUGCAGGUGCGUCUAUCUGCCUGAUCUGUCUGUCUGUCUGUCUGUCUGUCUGUCUGUCUGUCUUUGUAUAUAUCCGCUGAUAGGUCGUUCUGCUGAGGGUGUUGCCCCCUGUUUUCUGUUGUUCAAGUAAACUGAAUCCCGGGGCUGAGGCGGGUUUGGGUCAGUGUUGUUCUUGGUGUUGGGACUUAGGGUUUUAUAAAAUGACAGCGGAAACCGCCAACUGUCAACUGCUAGUUGGAUGUUGUUGGGUUCCAGGCAAGGGGAUUGUGGGAGAGGGGGAAAGGCGAGAGAGGGUCCCUGGGGGGCUCCCUCCUUGAAGAAUUCGUUUGUGUGUGGGGGGGGGUGUAUGUGUGCGCGUGUGUAUGUGUGCGUGUGUGUGUGUGCGUCCUGUAGGGAUCUUGCUGGCUUGAUAAAUAUUGAGUAAAUGCCUCCUCGCCAAGGGAGGAGGAUGUUAUACACAUGUGAACAACGAACAGCAACGCACGAGGUCCUUGAGCAGCUACGUGAAAUUGUUUUUCUGUCUUUUAGCUGUCUUUUUCCCUUUCUCAAGCCGGUCUGCAGUAUUUCGGUGUUGGUGGUUGCUUGAGCAUGUCCCCCUAAAGGUGGCAUCUGUUGUCGCUUUUCCUGCGCCGUGUCGCCGACGGAUAGGCCGACGGAUACGCCGACACCACCCAUGCUGUGUGCUAUGUGCUAUCGAACCUGGACUUUGAUGCGACGUCUAAAAUGAGGCCUGGAAGGAGGGCUUUCAGUUUUAAGGCUUUGAUUUGACUGGGGGGUUUUAAGCAUCGAUGUGGUUGUUAAGCGCGAAAACGCACAGCUGAGUAGAACAAAAGAGUUAAAGUUUGGGGGAUGUCUUUUAGUGGCUUUUAGUGGCUGCGAGUCGCGCAAGGUUGAGGGGGGCUGCGUGCGAGAAUGAGGGGCGGCUGGGUCGUGAGAUUGAUGGGCAGAUGAGGCUGGUGGGGGAGCUAGAAACGAGACAGGGCGUGCAACGGUAUGGUUGGUGGUGGGGUGGGGAAGAAGGGAAUGGCUGGCUGGCUGUGUGCACUCGUUAACCCUCCUCAACCCAUAUUAACGUGAUUGCGUGGUUAACGGCAUGUUGGUCGGUUUUUCUGGAUUCAAGUUCGUUCCUAUUUCGCAACGAAAGGCCAUGGUUGUUUUGCUGCAUGCUGAUGCAUAACAGACGCAUGAUAAGCAUCUGCCCUUUUCGACUGGAAUAUCGUGGGAAUUCGUUGGUUUGGAUGAUCAUGUAUGCGGCCACAAAGAUUGUGCCCGAUCGCUCGGCUUGUUGGGGUGCCGUACGCUGGAUGCAGGAGACACAUACGACAGCUGGUAUUACGGCAUGGGCGCUUGGGCUUGGGUUGCUAUACGUGCUGACAAUUAGUUUGAUGCUCGCCCCAGGGCUGGCUGGACAGUAAGCGCUAGAAAAACAGCGUGCUUAACACGACUCCGCAUUAAACCCGUAAGCAUGAGUCCUCGAGUUGUAGUCCAACUGGAACCUUUGACGUGAGGCGAUAACUGCUGAUUGAGGUACCAUCUGCAUUGACGUUUUGUAACGUGAGAUCCCAGCGCAGACGCGGUGAUAUAUGCAGGGUACAGAUGACGGUCAUCUGCAUUCGUCUCUCCCACUCUAAGGAACAGCCGUACGUGAACAGCUAGGAGAAGGAAGCUAGGAGAAGGAAGGGGGUGGCGCCGCCACCGCCACCACGGCCCGCGGCAGNNNNNNNNNNNNNNNNNNNNNNNNNNNNNNNNNNNNNNNNNNNNNNNNNNAUGACGCCGGGCACACGCCAAGAGAAGACGUUCAGCUUAACUCCAGUCUAUGUUGGAUUAUGCCCCCACCCUUGGGAGGAAGAUGUGUAUGUCGGCGCUAAGGCGGCAAUAAUGCCUAACGGUGUUUGUGUGUGCGAUUUCCCCUUGACCCGUCUAUAAUACGUUCGUGGGACCGCCCGCAGUCACUUCAGGCGGCUCCACGCCGGGUGGUUUGGGCGGGGGGGGGGAAACUAGAGUUAGGCGGUAGGGAUGAGAAGGAGAGGAGAAUGCGCGCAGGGCGCGGGUGGCUGGGGCGGUGAAGCGGGCGGCACAGGAAGGGGAACAGUGGUACAUACUCUAGCUGCUGCCCUCGUUGCUGACGUGCGCCCAGCUACUUUGGCUGUGUACGGUGGACGAGCGCUUAGGCUUCAGUUAUUGGCAGAGUACAGGGGGAUUCUACGGUGGCCUUUGGAGGGGGAGUUAAAGGUAGCAGUGACUGGACGAUAAGAUACUUCAGAAGCGAGCAGUUUCUACCAGAUGGGAGGGAAAUCCUCGUCACGGCUCUAGCGCAGGAUGCUAUGACUAUGUGACGAUGGUGAAUUACAAUGAUGCUUUGUGCAGUGCUUUUUGACGACGCGUGUGCUGGUCAAAGAUAUUUCGCUUGUCCGGUGGAAAUUGGAGCUAAAAGCCAAUUGUGGCAAGCCCACGGGGGACAGGAGAGGGGCGGCGUUGUAUGUGUCGUUUAAUGUCGUCUUGCUGUUUGUUGACUGUUUAUCUUCGUGUGAUGGUCGCCCCGUUAUCAUUGCGUUUGGUGUGCGCGGUGAUUCAUGCGGGUGACCUGCAAAGAACUUUCAUUUACGAUUAUGCAUUUUUGUCUCGCGAAUCUGGGAUUCCGAAACAAAUGCAGCGAAAGCGUUGAACACGAUUUCCUGCUAUAUCUCGCAGCGGCGAGGCUGUAACGACGCAAGGCCCAACUGAGCAUCCCGGGUUACGCCUUUGCUUUGUUACAAUGGUAUCGAGACGGAGCCGCACGACUUCCGAUGAAAUCUUCGGGUCGGUGGUUCGAUUCUGACAACAAGCAGGUAUCGCAGAAAGCGAUAUCAUGGGUAAUGGAUAAACCAGCGCACAAUGCGUGAGGUGGGAUGGCUCCAAUGCUCGAUAUAAUGGCCGCGGACGUCCAUUGCUAAAGGGGGGGCAAUGUAACGACGCAAGGCCCAACUGAGCAUCCCGGGUUACGCCUUUGCUUUGUUACAGAGGCUGCCUUUUCGGAUUUGCUGUACGACGCGGGUACAGGCGUGAUGGUGACUCAUUUCGCAUACACACAGGCUUACAACCCAUCUUUGACCUAUAGACCUUGUCAUCUAUCCUGUAUCAAAACAUUUAUGUCUCACUGUCAAUAGCGAAGACUUUUUCCUUUGGACUUGACUAUCCUUUGUGAGCGCCGUGCAAGUGAGCAAGGGUUUGUCCAUACCAGCUCGCCUCAGGCUUUUUUUCCAGCAUACAACCGCGGCACGGGAAAGGCGCGGGCACAGUUUCUCUUUUCAAAGUCCUUUCCCUUGGCCUUUUACUGCCGGGGAACAACCUAAGGAAGCGAGCGAUCAGGAAAGAUGAGGCGCGCGCUCGGUCAAGCCUUUAAAGUUGCGGCAGGCGCCCGUGAUUCGCAGGUGCGCGGUCCAUAUUCCGAAACAGGAAUCUUUCCGUCGUAGCUGCUCAGCAAAGGCCUUGCGCAGCAGCUCCCUGGCCCUCGGUCCGCCGUCACGGCCACGAGUCCUCACUUGGCAGGGAGCUUGACUUUGACCAUGCAAUGUAAACCAUUGAGAAGUGGGGAAAGAGGUCGUGGUCCCGAUGAAAAUUGCCGGUUCUACGUAUCCAUUUGUCCACAGAGUUUCCCGUAUCUUUUGCACUCGUAAUCCGCGUGUAUAUGUGCUUCUGUGUUUGUUACAUGUUUACGAGUCCGAUUCACCCUUCCCGCCUCCUGCAGGCGCUACUACCCAGCUUUCGAGCCCCGGGCCCAACAGCCACCCCGCUGGGCUUGUCCCCGACCGAGGCCUGGCGGCGGCCGGCCACCACCACUACUGCCACUGCCGGUGACGACAGCGACGGCCGCCACCACCACCCCGCCGUCGGCGACCUCCCUCGUACCCGCAGUGUACAUCAGGAGCAGCUGGCGGAGGGAAGCGACUUCGAAUCCACCGCCGCCACCGGACGGGCGGCCGUGUGGCCCGCGAGAUCUCCCGACGCGCCGCCCGAUCCCGCCACACGACGCAGCGGGCGGGAGACGAUGCCGGAUGAGCGGGCGGAGGAGGAGGAGGCGUGGAUGACCAUCCGUCAUGGCUCCGGAAAAUCGGCGGAGGCCAUUUUGGCAGGGUGGGUGUGCAGUAUAAGGGGUUGCGGGUGAGGGAGGGGAUGGGGGGGAGUGCAGGGUGAGGUGUAAGCCCGCGCCGGCUGUCCCUUUCCUCCCCGCUCCUCCGUAUCACCCCUCCCCAGGUGUUGUGAUGGUGGGUUUAGGCGGAGUUGGGCCCUACAGUACAAAAAGCACCAGUCAGGCUCCCACUCUCAGCCUCGUCAGGUCUCACAUUCCUGGACAGCAACCAACCCUCAGGCCGCAGGCCACCACAAAUGGAGAGCGGGGGAGGGGGGACUUCACCAGAACGCUCAUUUACAGCACUAGCGCCAACAUGUCCAUGAAGGGCUUGUCCCUCGGCAGGCGGGCAACAUGCAUAGUGAUAACACUCGGCAGUUACACGUUCCAGCCUGUUGGGCCUGCGAUUGUGCAGCCCUGUGUGACAGCACACUCUUUCUCUACCAUAAAGGGGCGGUUCAGUGUUCUGCAUGACAUACACCCUCUUGCUGCCUGAGGGGUGUGACUUCUGGCUUGAUUCAGCUUGAAGUUGCUUCGUCACUUUGCUGCUCUGCACCCCUUCGUUGUGAUCCUGCAUGCAUUGCAACUGUGUGACAGCGGCUGGUUGUUUAAUGUGUAUGCGCCUUGUGGGCAUGAUGGGCUAUCCUUGUGCAGGCCUGCCAGCUUGUAAGCUGCAGCUCCGACAAGACUUGCAGAACGAGGACUUGUUCUUCUUUGAGCCCAUGGACGUCGUCAGCGCUGCAGCUGCCACAAGUGCUGGCGUGAGCAGCAUGUUCUUCCUGGACCCCAAGGGCAGGCAGAUAGCUGAGCUGAAGAAGUGGCUGGACCUUGCCGAGGAUGAGUACUGUAUGGGGAGACCCAUCCGGCCGUUGUUCAUCAACGGUCUGGUCAAGGUGGGAUAUAACGGCCUGACCAAGGACGGAGAGCUCCUUGUGCAGCUUGUGUCCAACCCACAUGGAACAGGGUUUGGAGUGAGAAGAUUAGGCGUGGUAGAUGGGUGAUGCAUGCAGCUUUGUGCACUGUUGAGUAAUACACAGCUGAGCGACCAAGGGGAAUGCACGCUUACCUAGCCAUCUUGCGCCCCAUAUUGUGCCCGUUGUGCAGAGUGGCAAGUCCUACAUGCUCAACGAGGUUCUGCCUGCUGUGGCCAACACCUACUACAGCAGCGGCGGCAGUGGCCGGCAGCACGCUGGCACGGUGCUUUCAGAGCCCAACUUCCUGCGCGUGAACUGCUUGGGCUGUGAUCGCAGCAGCGGCAUCAGUGGCUUCCUUAAGGAAUUCCUCGCUGUACUCAAGGAGAGUGCCGCCGACCAGCGGCUCUCUGCUGCCGCCAGCACGCCUGCACCCAGCGACAACUCGGUUGUCACCGCAGCAGGUGCCAUUCGGAACUUCAUGUGGCGCCUGCCACGGGACCGCCUGAACUUCCUGCUGAUUGACGAGGCGCAGAGCUUUUACCUGCUUGAGCGGGCCAUGCCGGGCGAAAAGUCGCCCGGCAAAAGUCCGCGGCGAAAAGUCGCUGCACGCGGCUCAACACUGGACGUGGAUGCAGUGCAGCACAUGCGGCGGUAAAUCAGCGCAAGGUUUCCCUAACCGUGUCGUGUGAUCACAUGGGCGAGGAUGAGGGGCAAUGGCCAGUGAAACGCGCCCAGGCGGAGAUUUACACGAGGGGGCAGAAGGCACUAAGGGGAGAUCGCUGCGAGAUUCAAUUGUAUAACAUAAGCAUAUUGCACAAGGGGCAAAGGUCUGCACUCAUGCCUACAGCAGGCGUACGACACAAAGGAGCUGACACAUGCACCAUUUUCCUUCCCUCAACUGUCGUGUGUACUGCAGCAUCUUCAAGGAACUCCUGCUGGACAGCCCCCACUGGGUCGCCUGGGCCGUCACGGGCAGUUCCAUGGCGACGCUAUGGGCCAACGUUGCAGUCACCCCGGUGAGCAAUUGGUGUUGCAGCGGGGGGGGGUAGGCUCUUCUGGGGGGGUGCAUAUGCUUUAUGGGAUGGGCAUGGAGACAGGCAUUAUAGUGGGCAUGGUGCAGGUGGGCGUGAAGGUGCGCGCGGGUGCGAUAGAGCUCCUAGAGAGAAGACGCACGCGCUGACCCUCUCCUUGUCCCUUCGGGNNNNNNNNNNNNNNNNNNNNNNNNNNNNNNNNNNNNNNNNNNNNNNNNNNCAGCAGCAGCAGCAGCCGACUGGGGCGGCGGCGGCAGCGGCGGCGGGGGCUGCGAACACCCGUGGUGGCAAUGACUGCGCGCAUCAUCUCAACAAUCCUUCCAACACAGACAAGCUCAGUCUCCGAUAAUAGCUGCUAUUCUAGGAUUGCCUGUAGUGCAGGUGCGUCUAUCUGCCUGAUCUGUCUGUCUGUCUGUCUGUCUGUCUGUCUGUCUGUCUUUGUAUAUAUCCGCUGAUAGGUCGUUCUGCUGAGGGUGUUGCCCCCUGUUUUCUGUUGUUCAAGUAAACUGAAUCCCGGGGCUGAGGCGGGUUUGGGUCAGUGUUGUUCUUGGUGUUGGGACUUAGGGUUUUAUAAAAUGACAGCGGAAACCGCCAACUGUCAACUGCUAGUUGGAUGUUGUUGGGUUCCAGGCAAGGGGAUUGUGGGAGAGGGGGAAAGGCGAGAGAGGGUCCCUGGGGGGCUCCCUCCUUGAAGAAUUCGUUUGUGUGUGGGGGGGGGUGUAUGUGUGCGCGUGUGUAUGUGUGCGUGUGUGUGUGUGCGUCCUGUAGGGAUCUUGCUGGCUUGAUAAAUAUUGAGUAAAUGCCUCCUCGCCAAGGGAGGAGGAUGUUAUACACAUGUGAACAACGAACAGCAACGCACGAGGUCCUUGAGCAGCUACGUGAAAUUGUUUUUCUGUCUUUUAGCUGUCUUUUUCCCUUUCUCAAGCCGGUCUGCAGUAUUUCGGUGUUGGUGGUUGCUUGAGCAUGUCCCCCUAAAGGUGGCAUCUGUUGUCGCUUUUCCUGCGCCGUGUCGCCGACGGAUAGGCCGACGGAUACGCCGACACCACCCAUGCUGUGUGCUAUGUGCUAUCGAACCUGGACUUUGAUGCGACGUCUAAAAUGAGGCCUGGAAGGAGGGCUUUCAGUUUUAAGGCUUUGAUUUGACUGGGGGGUUUUAAGCAUCGAUGUGGUUGUUAAGCGCGAAAACGCACAGCUGAGUAGAACAAAAGAGUUAAAGUUUGGGGGAUGUCUUUUAGUGGCUUUUAGUGGCUGCGAGUCGCGCAAGGUUGAGGGGGGCUGCGUGCGAGAAUGAGGGGCGGCUGGGUCGUGAGAUUGAUGGGCAGAUGAGGCUGGUGGGGGAGCUAGAAACGAGACAGGGCGUGCAACGGUAUGGUUGGUGGUGGGGUGGGGAAGAAGGGAAUGGCUGGCUGGCUGUGUGCACUCGUUAACCCUCCUCAACCCAUAUUAACGUGAUUGCGUGGUUAACGGCAUGUUGGUCGGUUUUUCUGGAUUCAAGUUCGUUCCUAUUUCGCAACGAAAGGCCAUGGUUGUUUUGCUGCAUGCUGAUGCAUAACAGACGCAUGAUAAGCAUCUGCCCUUUUCGACUGGAAUAUCGUGGGAAUUCGUUGGUUUGGAUGAUCAUGUAUGCGGCCACAAAGAUUGUGCCCGAUCGCUCGGCUUGUUGGGGUGCCGUACGCUGGAUGCAGGAGACACAUACGACAGCUGGUAUUACGGCAUGGGCGCUUGGGCUUGGGUUGCUAUACGUGCUGACAAUUAGUUUGAUGCUCGCCCCAGGGCUGGCUGGACAGUAAGCGCUAGAAAAACAGCGUGCUUAACACGACUCCGCAUUAAACCCGUAAGCAUGAGUCCUCGAGUUGUAGUCCAACUGGAACCUUUGACGUGAGGCGAUAACUGCUGAUUGAGGUACCAUCUGCAUUGACGUUUUGUAACGUGAGAUCCCAGCGCAGACGCGGUGAUAUAUGCAGGGUACAGAUGACGGUCAUCUGCAUUCGUCUCUCCCACUCUAAGGAACAGCCGUACGUGAACAGCUAGGAGAAGGAAGCUAGGAGAAGGAAGGGGGUGGCGCCGCCACCGCCACCACGGCCCGCGGCAGCACGGAUUCCGAGACGACGGGAACGGCGGAACACGCGGGUGAUGAGCAGGGCAGCAGUGGCGGCGGCGGGUCGAAUGAGCUGGUUGGUCGAAUGAGCUGACAGGCAAUGGCAUUACCGAGGCGAUGAAGUCGGGCGUCGGUCGGCUUAAGGUGAGCUGGGGCUGUGGCGGGGCCCCCCGUGUGGCGGUCGUGAUGGCGGCUAGCUAGCUCGGUUGCCGCGUGUGUUGUGGUUUACCUGUGUAAAUAUGUAUGUAUGCAUGUAUGUAUGUACCACUUCCACGUGCAAGGAACGUGAGUGCGACAGGGGGCCCCCUGUGGGCGCCGGGAGGCGGGAAGAGGGGGAAUGUGGUUGUGAGGUUGGUGCAGAAAACCGCAUACACAUCUACACGUGACACUCGAUACUCGGCAUGUCCCGAAAACUGCUCUCCACCCGCCACAUAACUCCACCAGGACUAAUACCCGCCGGCAGCACCUUUGCACCCGCCAUCCCUCCUCCCUCUCCCUGCUCUUAUGACGCCGGGCACACGCCAAGAGAAGACGUUCAGCUUAACUCCAGUCUAUGUUGGAUUAUGCCCCCACCCUUGGGAGGAAGAUGUGUAUGUCGGCGCUAAGGCGGCAAUAAUGCCUAACGGUGUUUGUGUGUGCGAUUUCCCCUUGACCCGUCUAUAAUACGUUCGUGGGACCGCCCGCAGUCACUUCAGGCGGCUCCACGCCGGGUGGUUUGGGCGGGGGGGGGGAAACUAGAGUUAGGCGGUAGGGAUGAGAAGGAGAGGAGAAUGCGCGCAGGGCGCGGGUGGCUGGGGCGGUGAAGCGGGCGGCACAGGAAGGGGAACAGUGGUACAUACUCUAGCUGCUGCCCUCGUUGCUGACGUGCGCCCAGCUACUUUGGCUGUGUACGGUGGACGAGCGCUUAGGCUUCAGUUAUUGGCAGAGUACAGGGGGAUUCUACGGUGGCCUUUGGAGGGGGAGUUAAAGGUAGCAGUGACUGGACGAUAAGAUACUUCAGAAGCGAGCAGUUUCUACCAGAUGGGAGGGAAAUCCUCGUCACGGCUCUAGCGCAGGAUGCUAUGACUAUGUGACGAUGGUGAAUUACAAUGAUGCUUUGUGCAGUGCUUUUUGACGACGCGUGUGCUGGUCAAAGAUAUUUCGCUUGUCCGGUGGAAAUUGGAGCUAAAAGCCAAUUGUGGCAAGCCCACGGGGGACAGGAGAGGGGCGGCGUUGUAUGUGUCGUUUAAUGUCGUCUUGCUGUUUGUUGACUGUUUAUCUUCGUGUGAUGGUCGCCCCGUUAUCAUUGCGUUUGGUGUGCGCGGUGAUUCAUGCGGGUGACCUGCAAAGAACUUUCAUUUACGAUUAUGCAUUUUUGUCUCGCGAAUCUGGGAUUCCGAAACAAAUGCAGCGAAAGCGUUGAACACGAUUUCCUGCUAUAUCUCGCAGCGGCGAGGCUGUAACGACGCAAGGCCCAACUGAGCAUCCCGGGUUACGCCUUUGCUUUGUUACAAUGGUAUCGAGACGGAGCCGCACGACUUCCGAUGAAAUCUUCGGGUCGGUGGUUCGAUUCUGACAACAAGCAGGUAUCGCAGAAAGCGAUAUCAUGGGUAAUGGAUAAACCAGCGCACAAUGCGUGAGGUGGGAUGGCUCCAAUGCUCGAUAUAAUGGCCGCGGACGUCCAUUGCUAAAGGGGGGGCAAUGUAACGACGCAAGGCCCAACUGAGCAUCCCGGGUUACGCCUUUGCUUUGUUACAGAGGCUGCCUUUUCGGAUUUGCUGUACGACGCGGGUACAGGCGUGAUGGUGACUCAUUUCGCAUACACACAGGCUUACAACCCAUCUUUGACCUAUAGACCUUGUCAUCUAUCCUGUAUCAAAACAUUUAUGUCUCACUGUCAAUAGCGAAGACUUUUUCCUUUGGACUUGACUAUCCUUUGUGAGCGCCGUGCAAGUGAGCAAGGGUUUGUCCAUACCAGCUCGCCUCAGGCUUUUUUUCCAGCAUACAACCGCGGCACGGGAAAGGCGCGGGCACAGUUUCUCUUUUCAAAGUCCUUUCCCUUGGCCUUUUACUGCCGGGGAACAACCUAAGGAAGCGAGCGAUCAGGAAAGAUGAGGCGCGCGCUCGGUCAAGCCUUUAAAGUUGCGGCAGGCGCCCGUGAUUCGCAGGUGCGCGGUCCAUAUUCCGAAACAGGAAUCUUUCCGUCGUAGCUGCUCAGCAAAGGCCUUGCGCAGCAGCUCCCUGGCCCUCGGUCCGCCGUCACGGCCACGAGUCCUCACUUGGCAGGGAGCUUGACUUUGACCAUGCAAUGUAAACCAUUGAGAAGUGGGGAAAGAGGUCGUGGUCCCGAUGAAAAUUGCCGGUUCUACGUAUCCAUUUGUCCACAGAGUUUCCCGUAUCUUUUGCACUCGUAAUCCGCGUGUAUAUGUGCUUCUGUGUUUGUUACAUGUUUACGAGUCCGAUUCACCCUUCCCGCCUCCUGCAGGCGCUACUACCCAGCUUUCGAGCCCCGGGCCCAACAGCCACCCCGCUGGGCUUGUCCCCGACCGAGGCCUGGCGGCGGCCGGCCACCACCACUACUGCCACUGCCGGUGACGACAGCGACGGCCGCCACCACCACCCCGCCGUCGGCGACCUCCCUCGUACCCGCAGUGUACAUCAGGAGCAGCUGGCGGAGGGAAGCGACUUCGAAUCCACCGCCGCCACCGGACGGGCGGCCGUGUGGCCCGCGAGAUCUCCCGACGCGCCGCCCGAUCCCGCCACACGACGCAGCGGGCGGGAGACGAUGCCGGAUGAGCGGGCGGAGGAGGAGGAGGCGUGGAUGACCAUCCGUCAUGGCUCCGGAAAAUCGGCGGAGGCCAUUUUGGCAGGGUGGGUGUGCAGUAUAAGGGGUUGCGGGUGAGGGAGGGGAUGGGGGGGAGUGCAGGGUGAGGUGUAAGCCCGCGCCGGCUGUCCCUUUCCUCCCCGCUCCUCCGUAUCACCCCUCCCCAGGUGUUGUGAUGGUGGGUUUAGGCGGAGUUGGGCCCUACAGUACAAAAAGCACCAGUCAGGCUCCCACUCUCAGCCUCGUCAGGUCUCACAUUCCUGGACAGCAACCAACCCUCAGGCCGCAGGCCACCACAAAUGGAGAGCGGGGGAGGGGGGACUUCACCAGAACGCUCAUUUACAGCACUAGCGCCAACAUGUCCAUGAAGGGCUUGUCCCUCGGCAGGCGGGCAACAUGCAUAGUGAUAACACUCGGCAGUUACACGUUCCAGCCUGUUGGGCCUGCGAUUGUGCAGCCCUGUGUGACAGCACACUCUUUCUCUACCAUAAAGGGGCGGUUCAGUGUUCUGCAUGACAUACACCCUCUUGCUGCCUGAGGGGUGUGACUUCUGGCUUGAUUCAGCUUGAAGUUGCUUCGUCACUUUGCUGCUCUGCACCCCUUCGUUGUGAUCCUGCAUGCAUUGCAACUGUGUGACAGCGGCUGGUUGUUUAAUGUGUAUGCGCCUUGUGGGCAUGAUGGGCUAUCCUUGUGCAGGCCUGCCAGCUUGUAAGCUGCAGCUCCGACAAGACUUGCAGAACGAGGACUUGUUCUUCUUUGAGCCCAUGGACGUCGUCAGCGCUGCAGCUGCCACAAGUGCUGGCGUGAGCAGCAUGUUCUUCCUGGACCCCAAGGGCAGGCAGAUAGCUGAGCUGAAGAAGUGGCUGGACCUUGCCGAGGAUGAGUACUGUAUGGGGAGACCCAUCCGGCCGUUGUUCAUCAACGGUCUGGUCAAGGUGGGAUAUAACGGCCUGACCAAGGACGGAGAGCUCCUUGUGCAGCUUGUGUCCAACCCACAUGGAACAGGGUUUGGAGUGAGAAGAUUAGGCGUGGUAGAUGGGUGAUGCAUGCAGCUUUGUGCACUGUUGAGUAAUACACAGCUGAGCGACCAAGGGGAAUGCACGCUUACCUAGCCAUCUUGCGCCCCAUAUUGUGCCCGUUGUGCAGAGUGGCAAGUCCUACAUGCUCAACGAGGUUCUGCCUGCUGUGGCCAACACCUACUACAGCAGCGGCGGCAGUGGCCGGCAGCACGCUGGCACGGUGCUUUCAGAGCCCAACUUCCUGCGCGUGAACUGCUUGGGCUGUGAUCGCAGCAGCGGCAUCAGUGGCUUCCUUAAGGAAUUCCUCGCUGUACUCAAGGAGAGUGCCGCCGACCAGCGGCUCUCUGCUGCCGCCAGCACGCCUGCACCCAGCGACAACUCGGUUGUCACCGCAGCAGGUGCCAUUCGGAACUUCAUGUGGCGCCUGCCACGGGACCGCCUGAACUUCCUGCUGAUUGACGAGGCGCAGAGCUUUUACCUGCUUGAGCGGGCCAUGCCGGGCGAAAAGUCGCCCGGCAAAAGUCCGCGGCGAAAAGUCGCUGCACGCGGCUCAACACUGGACGUGGAUGCAGUGCAGCACAUGCGGCGGUAAAUCAGCGCAAGGUUUCCCUAACCGUGUCGUGUGAUCACAUGGGCGAGGAUGAGGGGCAAUGGCCAGUGAAACGCGCCCAGGCGGAGAUUUACACGAGGGGGCAGAAGGCACUAAGGGGAGAUCGCUGCGAGAUUCAAUUGUAUAACAUAAGCAUAUUGCACAAGGGGCAAAGGUCUGCACUCAUGCCUACAGCAGGCGUACGACACAAAGGAGCUGACACAUGCACCAUUUUCCUUCCCUCAACUGUCGUGUGUACUGCAGCAUCUUCAAGGAACUCCUGCUGGACAGCCCCCACUGGGUCGCCUGGGCCGUCACGGGCAGUUCCAUGGCGACGCUAUGGGCCAACGUUGCAGUCACCCCGGUGAGCAAUUGGUGUUGCAGCGGGGGGGGGUAGGCUCUUCUGGGGGGGUGCAUAUGCUUUAUGGGAUGGGCAUGGAGACAGGCAUUAUAGUGGGCAUGGUGCAGGUGGGCGUGAAGGUGCGCGCGGGUGCGAUAGAGCUCCUAGAGAGAAGACGCACGCGCUGACCCUCUCCUUGUCCCUUCGGGUUUUCACAGGAGUGGGACGAGACGGAAGCCGCGAGCUACUUCCCAGAUGCUGCUGUGGUGCAGGCCAUCAUUAGCCUGGGCUUAUCGGACGUGAGUUCACAGGCUGAUCAUGGCGACGGUACUGAUUGCAAAAUGCAGCAGUUGAGCGGCUCGACGGAUUCUUGCACACUGACAUGCCAUGAAGAUUGAUUUACUAUUGCAUUGUUGAAUUGGAAAAGGGUUAAAAACAUUUCCUUCGAGGUCUGCGAGAGUCUAAACCCACGCCACACCCGCACUCCGCAUUCUGUGUGUUCCUUCUUACACACAGGUCCAGGUUGCACUUGGAAAGGAUGCAGGGCCAGGGGUGCACCCGCAAACCAUAUGGCACUUCGUUACACGGAAGGUGUGCGGUGUGCAGUACGACGAAACACACAUGCACCUCCUGCGGGAUGUGUGCCACCCGAAUCCAAGCAGCGCGUCGACAUCAGGUGGCACAUUGGCGCAGAUAGACAGAGCAGGUACGGGUUAGGCCAGGAUGGGGGUUGGGGCGGGGCAGGGUGGGGCGCGGCAACACACACUUAAUGAGUAUUUUCCGGUCUAUUCUUUCCAAUGGCGGUCCAUUUACAUGCGUACUCUGUCCACUGUAACAAUGUUGCUUGCCGAGCAAUCACGUGAUAACUUUUCCCGCUCUGCUCUAAUGCUUGCGGCCUUGGCCACCAGCCGAGGACGAGGACAGACAGGGCGAGGACGAGGAGCAACAUAGUGAAGAGGAGGAGCAGGAGGACGAGGAGGAGGUAGCGGCCAGGGAAACAGAAGAACGGGACAUCACCGCUGCGGACUCCGAUGCCGGCCUGGUUCUGGCAGGUGGGGCGUCCAGCGGCGAUGAGGGGUCAGACAGCGGACAGGAAGCAGCCGCCGCGGACACCAGGGGCGGCCAGGGUGAUGUGGGUCCAUCCAGUGGGACCGGUGAUGGGCGUGCGGGGGCCAGGCGGGCCAGGCGGCCCCACGACCCUAUCCUCUCCUCUCUGCACGAAUUCUGUCGCUGUGUCAAUGCAUGCAUUGCACGGCAGGGCAGGGACCGCGUCUCUGGCCGGUUCUUUGGGCAAAAUAUCCGUGAUGCAGUGGCUCGACUGACGAAAGACGAGCAGGACCAUUUAUCCGACGAUGAUUAUGUUGCAGUGCUAGAGGAGGUGGGCCAUCAGCAGGUGGUACGGAUUGCCUUGGUGGAGAGGCUGCUGCGUUCUAUGGCCACCACCAAAGGCAAGAGUUCGCUCGAGGAUGCCUCUCGGCUUGUGAGGAACGAUCCUGCAGGAAGACUGGUCUUGCGGGUGCUGCAGCCGGCUGGGCAAGGUAUGUAUCAACUGUGCCUUUAAUGGCAACAGUCUGCUGUGAUUUGGGCCACUCACCGCAUGCUCGCCACUUUGCUUGACAUGUAUGGCCACAUAGACACCGCAACUGAUUUUUUUAUCAUAUACAUACCCCACAUUAACCGCAGACAUGGGCAGUGGCCUGCCUCAAUAUCUUCUACCGUACAGAAUGACACGGAACCCCCAAGAUCGCUGGAGCACGGAGCAUCUGGUGCAGAUCGUCAGCGUGCAGCCUGGACCCAAUCGCGCUGAUGGCAACCUGGUGGUGCUCGACGACGAAAGCAUGCGGGUAAGUGCGUAUGGAUGGCAAUCUGUGUACACUAUCUACAACAGGCUACUAGCUACAACGGGCUACUAGCUACAACGGGCCACUGAUGGAAGAGUCGACCUUCUGAACCGUGCAGAGACUUCUAAUCUCUUCUAGCGUAAUGAUCCCUCUCGAUUUUCUGCAUGUGCCUUACAGGAAGUGUGUGAGCACUGUGAGCAGCAUGGCUGGCGCCUUGAUGGCGACGAUGCACUGGCGGACUCGGAGGAUGCUGGUAGGCAGGCGCGGCCCAAGAAGGCCGGUCUGGAGAAGCCGUGCAGGCCCCGGCAGCACAAGAUAGAGGACCGGGCUCCCACAGAGGCGAUCCGGGCUGUGGACGCUGCAGUGGGUGUCCAGCGCGUGUCCAUGCACUAAAGCAGCGCAGGGUCACGGACUACACGGACCUGUAGUCCGUGACCACUAGAGGCUGCGUGGUGCGGCGGACUAGAGGCGGAUUGCUGCAUUAGAGACGGAUUGCUGCACUAGAGACGGAUUGCUGUGGCUGAUUCCCACCUGUAGGCUAUCUUAUUGGCGCAUGCAGACGGGCGAGGGAUGACAAACACCGAUGCAGUCACAUGCAUACCUUCACGUGCGUACAUAAACUGUUCACAGCUCAGCUACUGCGACACAAAGCGCGCGCUGACAUGCACGAUGAUGUGAAGUGCCUGUCAUGCUGCAGCGGCGGCCUCCUCCUCACUAACCUGCAGCCACAAAUCGGCUGGCGCCGGCUGGUUACCAUCACCCAGCUACUGCAGCAAAAGGUGCACGGCUACCGCCUGCUCGGAGCACCCCUCCUAGCAGCCACCAAUCACGCCAACCUUAUGGAAUUGGGAAAGCUACUUGGGCAGGCUAAUGCCCGCUGUGCAGCCCCUAUGACUGUGGACUUUUACGGGCAGCCCUGCAAUCUGCUCAGCGACGAACCAGAAGUCAUCGCCAACUGCAUCGGCAUUCAAAAUACGGACCACACGGUCAGCCGGCUCUGGGAGACCUGCGCGGCGUCCAUGUCAGGAGACGACCCGCAAUACCGGCUUCCCACGGGAACCCUGGUCCUGCCCCUGCUGGGUGAGGCCAGCUUCCCGCUUAUCAUGCUGAGCAUGGGCAAUGGAGAACUCAAAACCAGCGGAGGUUGCUUCCUUGAUAUGGAAGGCACCCACAUCCAUGCUGCACUCCCGGCUGGCUCACCAUAUGGCACCAAUGUCCAACUUGCGCUUACACCCCUGGAUGCAACCAACGCUUACAACCGCCCCAUGAGCGCCACGGGCCUUGCAAUUGCGGCGGCACGAGGAGGAAACGUGAAUGAGACGCUGUGCUCGGCAUACCUCUAUGAGGAGCGCCGUGACUCUCUGAAGGUUCUCCGGAAGCAGGUCAUCCUGGCCAUCGCAACUGCCUGCCAGGUCGCACCUCCGAACCCGCUGCGCGCACCCUCGCCCCUGAAGGCUAAGGUGCCGACCCCGAUGGGCCCAACGAGAAACGAUCUCCUGGCGCUUGAUGGGGAUGAUGAAGACUGGGACGCUGCGCUGCCAAACCUGGGCCGCAAUCUGAUGGAGGACAUGGACCAGGCCGCCAUGGAAGUGAGUACAUUAGCAAACCCCAACACCUUGAAGGUAGCCACCAAUAGCCCAAGAAACAAAGCUUGUGAGCCCCAGUGCCAUGACGGCCCCCUAAUGGUGCGCCUGGGAAAAACAUCAAUGCCAUCCUGUCCCCCCCAAUCUAGCAUAAGGAAGAAUGUGUCUGCCCCCCUGCCUGCACCCCGCCCCCCUAGGUUUGAACCCUGUGACCCAACAGCCAAGAAGGCGCAGGGCCUCGGCAUGCCAGUGGAACCUGGCCAACCAGCCAACGAGAAAAUAUCGCAGGAGCAGGAUGCAGCCACGCUUGGCUACUGUGAAAGGGAACACGGCCGGGAUGCCAGCUGGGAGAUAGGGAGUGCGAGCCAGAACAACGCCGGCACCAUUUGGAUGAUACCGUUUCGAAAGAGUGACCCCAGUGGCGAUGCAGGGCCGCCAUGGCACAUGCAACCCAAGGACGGCCUGGGCUGCGGCCCCACAGAUAAAACAGCAAGAGAUGCGUGCAAUGUGGGAACUAGGUGUGUCCCCCAUGAUCUUAAGGGUGAGGACGUGACUUCAGUAGUACACCUGUACGAUGAUUGGGAAUGUGGCCGGAUGGCGUGUCGAAAGACAAGACAUGCCGGGGUGAAUGAUGCCCCUGACAGCCGGACAGACACUCAGGGGAUAUUCUCGGUCAAGGAGAUGCGCUGUAGUAUAGCUUGGCAAUCUGAUGUGUGUGACUCGAUCAAGGGCUGGAUAAGGGGGGAGCACAAGCCGGUAUCCUGUGAGGGUCCCCUGCAACCUGCAGGGACGCAGUAUGGCUGCAACUCUGAACCUGUUGUAACCCACAACCAAACACUGCCACACCAUAGCACUCGUGAAACUGACGGCCGUAGGACCUUGAGAGACAACUGGAAGGCAGGGUGUACAGACAAUGCGUACCCAAGCACAGGUUCGGAGAAAGAGGUAUGGGGCAACAGGGCAGGCGAGACCUCGUAUCAACAGGGCCACUCGAGAAUUAUACCUCGCAGCAUUCAGAAACUCCCGGCGACAUCGAUUGGGGACGACAUUAGUGCACAUCCCCCGGGCGGAAUUGCGGCAUCUACAGCUAGGGUCAUCUAUGGGCGUCUGUACCGGAGUGCCUGUACAGCCUGGACAGGCACUCGGUACGGGCUUGCCGUGAUCGCUCUCAUUGUCUGUAUGGCUGUAGCGAGCAUGGGAGUCCUGUGUACCGUUCGUAAGGUUUACAGAACCACCACUCGCCGAGGUAUGAACACGUGGAAAAUAAUACCUCAGACUAGUAACGCAGUUCUACUCAUGAUUAUUCUUUGGGGCCCCCUAGCACUCGUGAUAGCGAUAUGGCCCCUGGACACUGCAAUCUCUCUGGUAGUGCAAACGGCAGGAUUGAUUUGGGUAAUUCGACACUUCACUAAACGAAUAACUACCUGCGCCGUACCAGCAGCCAUCGACCUCGCUCUCGCCUGUGUGGUCCAUACUGCUGACACCAGCAACUGGGCAUACCAGCACCCGGGGGUGAUUAGACAGAUGAUAGUGUCAGUGGCCGCGCUGGUCAUGUUAUGCCUACAUCUCGCCACAGCAGCCCCGAUGGCCCCCAUUCUGGCGAUCAGUAUCCCCACUAUAGAUAAAGGGCUAAAUCUCAUACCGGAGCUGAGGGGACAUGCACGCUGGCUGAUAAACAUCUGCCUGAUAGUCGGCCUGGCGAUACCGCAGAACAUGCUGGUGGGCGCCGCUAUGACCCUCGUCGUUACACCGAUUACGAUUACCAGUUGGAAUGGAGACUCCGCCCCUGAGAUAAUGAGGCGCCCUGAACAAGCGGACAGCACCCACUGUGCGGGCCCACCAGAAGAAACCACACAAACCGAGCUACCCUGCCCCCACGCCAGCACGCCAACAUGGCUGCUAACAGGACCUGGGACCCCACCAAAACAAGUGACGUGGCCAAUAACGACAAACCCGCACAACUCAGACGGCUCUCUAUAUCACGAGCAACAACAGAAAGAGCUCUGCAUGAUCCACGCCAUAAACAACCUACUAGGGGGACCGUACAUCAACCCACAACAUGUACUGCAGUACUGCCGUGCAAUGCUACAGCACAUGGCCGACCGGGGACUCCACAAUGCAGCCGCCACGUGGCGACUAACCCACAACCAAAACACCGGCAACUUCUCAACACUGGCAAUCAAUCCGUACCUCCGCUACAACGUGCCGGUUCGAACUGCACAGCAAAGAAAUGACCCCGCACACCCGCAUGUCGCCUCCAUAGGGAGUGGACAGGAAAUAAAACCCAACGCGACGUUAAGCAGUGUACUACAUCAGCUUCCAGAACACGCACGCAACUGGGGCUUCAUCGUACACCUCACAGGCCACGCAAUCGCGGUACGAAAGCACAAGGAUCGGUGGUACAUUCAUGACUCUCUGCAACCGAAACCUGUGGAACUCGGUGACGAAAACGCCACGUGGCCACGUGAAACCGGCGCAAUAUACACCCUAAACCUCCGGCACCACACAGAACCCACGGCAACCCACGUGGACCUGAGAGACAUAACCCCCCCGGACACCUGGAUGCGCACAGCUCACACCGAGAACACGGAGAUCCAAACAACACCCAACGGGACCACGUGCACAACAACGAGGGCACCACAAGGCCAAAAGCGGCGGAAGAUCAAACACCUGCGUGCAGUGCAACUAACCCACCAAACGACGAGAACACUAACUGAGCCACCAGGAACGUGGAUACCACCGCAGCCGACUGCACACGACAAUGACCACCGACCAGCAUCCAAUCUGAUAGUCGCGCCUCUCCCACCCCCCUUAGAGGAAGACUCGCGUGAACGCCCCCACCAAAAACGACAUACCGGGCACAUUGGAAUUACCCUCCCGCGGCCACGCGACACCACAACUGGUGCCCCGUGAACCACGGGAACCAGGGUACGAGCCAAGCCGCCGCGUACCCUACCCACGGACGCGCAAUGCAACAGACCCAAACCGCCGACGAUCAUGGACCACCUCCGGCGGUGGGCCAACAAACGCACCAACCCAGCCGGAGCUGACCACCCCGGGAAAACGAUACACACAACAAGGGAAAAUGGGAACGCCAGUGAACCCAAUGUCAAACGCCCAAGACUGUCGACCACUCCCGUAAACAACAACACAUCUCCCCACCCGGAGAAUGCAAAUCCCUCAGAACACUGCAACAAAACGGACCCCCGGUACCUGCACAUUGUCACUCACAACGUGCGAGGACUGGCGACGAACUUCCUCAGUACACUGUGCAAUAUGCAGACUUGGGCUGCUGAUAUCAUUGUCCUGACGGAAACCAAAACCGGCAACCGCAUCGGAUGGAUGAAGGACGCCAUACGCAAAGAACCGCAGGGAUACAGGCUCUACUGCAGCUCGAAACCACGUAGCUCUGGCAAGGAUCGCUACUCAGCAGGUGUAGCAAUUGCCAUUGGUGCUCGUUACACUCGUGCAGGACAAGUGACGCACAUACCACCGCCGCCUCUGCUACAAGGGUACCUGUGCCACUGCAAGAUCUCCACGUCAGCAAGUACCCCCUUACACGUGCUGGGAAUCUACUGUCCGGAAAACACCCUAGUCCGAACCACCAUAUACGCGCACUGCCGGACAGUUCUAAGACAGGCCAAGAGUAACGGGGAACACGUAGCCCUGGCCGGAGACUUUAAUGCCGUUCUGAAUCCUGAUGACCGCAGUACAGGCCUGCUCGACACAGCAGACCGACUACACCUCAAAUUCAUCACCGAUAACACGCUCACAACGGUCCCUGAAAACUGCUCCCCCCGCCACCCGUCCUUCAAGCAGUGGAUCCAGGAAUGCUGUACACACCAAAGCCGAAUAGACGAUAUCCUGAUGUGCCCCACCCUACACGCGAGUGUAAAAGCGGAGACACCCGCAAACGGGAACACGCCACAAGCGUACUGCAACGUUUCUGUCGCCGGUGGAAACUUCGACCAUAAUCCCGUUCACGCCCGCCUGCCCGCCGACGCCAUCCGCCUGUGGGACGCCAAGAAACCGGCAGUCCCAAACAACCCAGACGGAGACGGGGCCCGGACUAAAUGGAAAAACGUGAUACUGCCGGUUCCGAAUUCCACUAUCCGCGCAGCGCAAUCGAAGAUGGAUGCCUCGCUCACGUCGGACAUCCUCAGCCUCCAGGAAUACCUCCGCCCCGCCGUCCAGGAGAUUGACGAAACACAUCGAGGACCCCACGGAUAUGACAGCCACCCGCUUGAUGACACUACUUCGCGGCCACGACAGCAUCACGGCGGUCAAUGUGGAGAUUGCGGCAGCAAUGCUCCAAACAACCCUCGACAAGGGACUAGACAUCCUACUAGACCUGUGCCCUCAGAAACCGCCAUGUACGGGCAAAAUACACACCAAACGAACAGUCAGCAGAAGACUAAAAAAAGUUACACAGAGAACACACCCGGCUCAAGCAUGACUAUGAAAUGGAACUACGGAUGCAGGCCGCCCCCCGAUGCCAACAGCCAGUUUGCGCGGACAGCUCAACAAGCCCUAACGGGCUGGCAUCGAAUGGCAACCACGCACCUCCUGAAGGUGCCGGGGGCUUGCUGGAGCAACUACGGGACACGAUUCGACGGGUCGGUAGCCAAAUACGGCAGGCGCUAACAACAGAACGCCGGAAAAGCAUAACCGCAGCGCGCCGCCGAACCCAGCAUCUGAUCGCCACACGCCCUCGACGGGCUCACCAAGGCAUCUUUAGCAAGGAUGAACUCGAACGCGGCCUGCCUGCGGUGAAACACCCGGUCUCCGGUAAAAUAUGCACGGAACCCGAAUCCAUCCUUGAAGCAGUCCACCAGUACUUCCAGACGCAGGCCGCCCCCAUUGGCCCCCCGAAGACCGGACGGUACCGACCCGAGGAAACCCCUCGAGCGUACCCAUUUCUGCAGAGUGCCGCCCCAGACACGUUCUCCCUUACCAGCCCGAAACAGGCCGCGGACCACGUCCUGCUUAGCAGCGUCGCCGACCCUUUUAACUUUAACAAGUGUGUCCAACACCUGGCCCGCAAUAAAACACCGGGACCCGAUGGGAUACCUAACGAGCUACUGAGAGCAUUGCCCACUGCCUUACAGUCCACCAUCCACGACCUCCUGAAAGUCAUGUGGGCCCAGGCCCGCACGCCAAAGCAAUGGACUGAAUCCGUUACGGUCCUUUUACCAAAAGCAGGAGAUGCGCUCCUCCUGAACAACAAGCGACCCAUUGCCCUCGCCAACACUCUUUAUAAGUUAUGGACUAGCCUCGUCACAGUGUCCAUCGGGGACGUCGCUCCCGAACUCGCGUUGUUUAGCGAGGCGCAAGAAGGGUUCCUCCGGUACAGAAACACGGAACGGCAAAUCCAAAACCUGCUCCACGUCAUUGAGGAUGCUGGGCUCACACGCAAAGAUCUCUACCUGUUAUACGUCGACUUCUCCUCGGCAUUCAACACCAUCAACCACGACCUGCUGCUACAGAUCAUGUACGACCUAGGGCUACCCGAGGACCUCAUCUAUGUCGUACGGGAUCUGUACAGCCAAGCGCGGACCACUAUACGGACAGAACACGGCCUCACAGCNNNNNNNNNNNNNNNNNNNNNNNNNNNNNNNNNNNNNNNNNNNNNNNNNNCCGCCACAAGCGUACUGCAACGUUUCUGUCGCCGGUGGAAACUUCGACCAUAAUCCCGUUCACGCCCGCCUGGCCGCCGACGCCAUCCGCCUGUGGGACGCCAAGAAACCGGCAGUCCCAAACAACCCAGACGGAGACGGGGCCCGGACUAAAUGGAAAAACGUGAUACUGCCGGUUCCGAAUUCCACUAUCCGCGCAGCGCAAUCGAAGAUGGAUGCCUCGCUCACGUCGGACAUCCUCAGCCUCCAGGAAUACCUCCGCCCCGCCGUCCAGGAGAUUGACGAAACACAUCGAGGACCCCACGGAUAUGACAGCCACCCGCUUGAUGACACUACUUCGCGGCCACGACAGCAUCACGGCGGUCAAUGUGGAGAUUGCGGCAGCAAUGCUCCAAACAACCCUCGACAAGGGACUAGACAUCCUACUAGACCUGUGCCCUCAGAAACCGCCAUGUACGGGCAAAAUACACACCAAACGAACAGUCAGCAGAAGACUAAAAAAGUUACACAGAGAACACACCCGGCUCAAGCAUGACUAUGAAAUGGAACUACGGAUGCAGGCCGCCCCCGGAUGCCAACAGCCAGUUUGCGCGGACAGCUCAACAAGCCCUAACGGGCUGGCAUCGAAUGGCAACCACGCACCUCCUGAAGGUGCCGGGGGCUUGCUGGAGCAACUACGGGACACGAUUCGACGGGUCGGUAGCCAAAUACGGCAGGCGCUAACAACAGAACGCCGGAAAAGCAUAACCGCAGCGCGCCGCCGAACCCAGCAUCUGAUCGCCACACGCCCUCGACGGGCUCACCAAGGCAUCUUUAGCAAGGAUGAACUCGAACGCGGCCUGCCUGCGGUGAAACACCCGGUCUCCGGUAAAAUAUGCACGGAACCCGAAUCCAUCCUUGAAGCAGUCCACCAGUACUUCCAGACGCAGGCCGCCCCCAUUGGCCCCCCGAAGACCGGACGGUACCGACCCGAGGAAACCCCUCGAGCGUACCCAUUUCUGCAGAGUGCCGCCCCAGACACGUUCUCCCUUACCAGCCCGAAACAGGCCGCGGACCACGUCCUGCUUAGCAGCGUCGCCGACCCUUUUAACUUUAACAAGUGUGUCCAACACCUGGCCCGCAAUAAAACACCGGGACCCGAUGGGAUACCUAACGAGCUACUGAGAGCAUUGCCCACUGCCUUACAGUCCACCAUCCACGACCUCCUGAAAGUCAUGUGGGCCCAGGCCCGCACGCCAAAGCAAUGGACUGAAUCCGUUACGGUCCUUUUACCAAAAGCAGGAGAUGCGCUCCUCCUGAACAACAAGCGACCCAUUGCCCUCGCCAACACUCUUUAUAAGUUAUGGACUAGCCUCGUCACAGUGUCCAUCGGGGACGUCGCUCCCGAACUCGCGUUGUUUAGCGAGGCGCAAGAAGGGUUCCUCCAGUACAGAAACACGGAACGGCAAAUCCAAAACCUGCUCCACGUCAUUGAGGAUGCUGGGCUCACACGCAAAGAUCUCUACCUGUUAUACGUCGACUUCUCCUCGGCAUUCAACACCAUCAACCACGACCUGCUGCUACAGAUCAUGUACGACCUAGGGCUACCCGAGGACCUCAUCUAUGUCGUACGGGAUCUGUACAGCCAAGCGCGGACCACUAUACGGACAGAACACGGCCUCACAGCGCCAAUAAUGAUCGAACGAGGCACAGUACAGGGGGACAGGCUCUCGCCGGUGCUAUUCAUUAUUUUCCUCGAACCACUCCUCCGAUGGCUCCACGCUGGCGGACGAGGGUACAAGUACGGCUGCCUCCCCGACAGCCUGAACGCCAGGUACCAUGGAAGCUCAGCCGCUUACGCCGACGACCUCGCCGUGAUGACCAACAGCGCACAAGACCUACAAAUACAAUGCGACAAGAUCAGCUUGUACUCGAAAUGGGCGGGCCUACACGUGAAUCACAAAAAAUGCGCAGUGACGGGCAUCCUGCACCACAGGGCAUGGGCCGACCGAGGUCUGAACGGACCCACGUGUGCACGCACCCUCAAGGCAGCCUUGGAUGAAAAAAUCAAAAUCAGCGGCCAGUCAGUGCCGUACCUACCCCCCACGGAACCCUACAAGUACCUUGGGGUCCACGUAACGCUGACCCUCAACUGGAGCGCACAGAUGUCCCACGUCUGCAAGGCGGUGAGGGACAAGGGCGACCUACUUCAGGGAUCCCUAGCAUCGCCGGACCAAUGUAUCAGAAUCAUACAGACUUGUAUACAAGCGGUAGUGUCAUACAGCUUCUCCACCAUGGCAUACACUCCUAAUGAUAUCAGACUUUUGGAUGCGAUGAUCGCACGCGCAGCCCAACGCUGCUACCGCUUGCCCACCAGUUUUCCCACACGCGCCGUGCUGCUACCGGUGGAACAAUAUGGACUCGGCGUUGGGUCCCUGCUACCGAUCUAUGUGCGCAUGGCAGCUCGCGCGCUGGUCCUCUCCCUGAAUGAUGAAGGCCGGCUAGGCGUCGUGACACGAGCCAUGCUUAAGCUGCAGUGUCGUCUGGCGGCCGACACUAGGAUGCACACGUUGAAACGCGAGAGCAGUUUCUACACGACCCUGAAACAGCUGACCCUGGCGCGAGACCAUGGCAUCGCGGUCACCGACAAAGGGAUGCCGUAUAACACUCUCAUGACGGCCGCCUCCGCCGUCAACGCGCGGCAGGACACAAAGUCCGAAACCCUGCCGUACAGAUGCUUGCUCCCCUUGACAGAGCUGGGCCUAGACAUGCACGCGCUCAUAGACAAGAACACAACACAACACCUCAUCACCACCACUGAUCUCCAGAAGCUUUUCCCCCGGGGCAAGGUGCAGCACCGGCACAAGAUCGCCUUGAAUCGACUAAGCCUAGCGAUAAGUGCCCAAUGCCCCCAAGCUCCACACACGAAGGCACAUGACCCACGUCGCUGGUCGUCCGCGCUGCCUCUGGAAGACAGACGCCUCCGCGAGAUCCCCAGUGACCCUCCGUACACUGGCCUCCGGCACAAAUCAAGUCUCCCCAACCCGAUACUAGCACCAUCCCUCGACCCACAUGUACGCCGUGACACACCUGUCGUGUGGAGCCACGUGGAAGGUGGACCACGGAGAAGCCACACCAUCCCCGCGCAGAACCAGAUGACAUGGAGAGUGACCCACCAGCGCCGCCGAGCCACCCUGCGGAACCAGCCUGCACAGGACGGAAACGCACAAGAUCCGUCCACCAGCGGCAACAGGAUUUCAUCAACAACAAUACACGCUGUGACAACAGUAACGUGGGAACAGAUAGUGCAGCUAUACACGGCGCGCAACUUCGCGACCCGGCCCCGCAAUGCACAUCCUAUAUGGAAACGAGAUGCGUCAUGGCAGCUCUGCGAAAAGACACCCGUAGGAGUGUGCCCAACCUAGGGAACCCCCCUGGGCCUAUCGUCCAGGGACCGCGACCGCGCCCAAGCCGGCAAACCCGUCGCACUCUAAGCAUCGGCAUGACCCCCGUGACAGGAGAAAUCGGUACCCCAAACCCAGUGCUGGUGUACCUUGCAGAAAAGGGACUCGACUGUACGCCGGUAGCGCCACGUAACCCUCGCGCCGGUGCAGGCGCGGGGGCGGCAAGGGCCGGCCCGAACACCGCCGACAGGGACCACGCCGGUGAUCCGCCUGCGCCCGAACCGGCCGGAGCGCUACCGGGGACGCCGAAGCCACCAGAGCACCUCACCCCGCAAUGGUGGAGACCUCGAUGGAAAGUCGCCCGCGAUCAAAUACUGGAGGACAGGAUACCCUGGAAGCCUGGAAAAGGCCAGGCAAAGGACACAACGGGGCAACAACAGAUAGUUUAUGACCUAUACAACGAUGUAGAGGACAUCGUAGAAGUACUCGCAGGCCCUAUCACAAGACGCAUCGUCCCCUCAAACGUUAAACCUCCCAAGAAACAGAAAAUCGGGGCCGAUACGACCGCAACCCACGAACAGUACUACACGGUUCGCUGGAAAGACACUAUCACCCCGAUAUCUAUUGUCGGCGCAUACGCCAGCAUGGGAUACGUGCCCAGACAGCUAUUACCAGUGACAGGUCUUUACGGCACGCGGAUCGACCGCCACUUCCGCAGAGCGGUAUGGGAACCGUCAGAUAUCCCCGCCGCGCAACUCGGUAGGCUACCCAACGGACCAGCGGCGAUGGCGAGGUACGAGCAAACGAGGUCGCAGAGCGUGAACCCCCUCUCGAGAUAACCCAAACCCAAGGACAGCAAUCUAACGAACCCUCAGAGGCAAGGCCGAUGGAACCCGCCCCCCUCGGAGCAGACCCAGCGGGCACACCUUAUUCGAGCAAACACUACCUUUGAGACUGCGCCGUGCAACCCAUACAUGGACACGCACCCCACGGGAAAUUACCGAAUCCAGCUAGGUCUGCUAACCAGAGAGGGCGGCUCGACCGAAGGGAACACGGCCUUCGUCUACGACCCGAGAGGGAAAUGCAUGGGCACCCUCACCCUGCAACGCCUGGAGACCCUCAAAGUGUGAUACCAACACACGAUCGACACUACCCGGAGGUGCACAGAAGCCUGUCCUCCCAGGGCGGCUUCACCGAGGACGUCGCGCGCCUCCUNNNNNNNNNNNNNNNNNNNNNNNNNNNNNNNNNNNNNNNNNNNNNNNNNNAACUUCGCGACCCGGCCCCGCAAUGCACAUCCUAUAUGGAAACGAGAUGCGUCAUGGCAGCUCUGCGAAAAGACACCCGUAGGAGUGUGCCCAACCUAGGGAACCCCCCUGGGCCUAUCGUCCAGGGACCGCGACCGCGCCCAAGCCGGCAAACCCGUCGCACUCUAAGCAUCGGCAUGACCCCCGUGACAGGAGAAAUCGGUACCCCAAACCCAGUGCUGGUGUACCUUGCAGAAAAGGGACUCGACUGUACGCCGGUAGCGCCACGUAACCCUCGCGCCGGUGCAGGCGCGGGGGCGGCAAGGGCCGGCCCGAACACCGCCGACAGGGACCACGCCGGUGAUCCGCCUGCGCCCGAACCGGCCGGAGCGCUACCGGGGACGCCGAAGCCACCAGAGCACCUCACCCCGCAAUGGUGGAGACCUCGAUGGAAAGUCGCCCGCGAUCAAAUACUGGAGGACAGGAUACCCUGGAAGCCUGGAAAAGGCCAGGCAAAGGACACAACGGGGCAACAACAGAUAGUUUAUGACCUAUACAACGAUGUAGAGGACAUCGUAGAAGUACUCGCAGGCCCUAUCACAAGACGCAUCGUCCCCUCAAACGUUAAACCUCCCAAGAAACAGAAAAUCGGGGCCGAUACGACCGCAACCCACGAACAGUACUACACGGUUCGCUGGAAAGACACUAUCACCCCGAUAUCUAUUGUCGGCGCAUACGCCAGCAUGGGAUACGUGCCCAGACAGCUAUUACCAGUGACAGGUCUUUACGGCACGCGGAUCGACCGCCACUUCCGCAGAGCGGUAUGGGAACCGUCAGAUAUCCCCGCCGCGCAACUCGGUAGGCUACCCAACGGACCAGCGGCGAUGGCGAGGUACGAGCAAACGAGGUCGCAGAGCGUGAACCCCCUCUCGAGAUAACCCAAACCCAAGGACAGCAAUCUAACGAACCCUCAGAGGCAAGGCCGAUGGAACCCGCCCCCCUCGGAGCAGACCCAGCGGGCACACCUUAUUCGAGCAAACACUACCUUUGAGACUGCGCCGUGCAACCCAUACAUGGACACGCACCCCACGGGAAAUUACCGAAUCCAGCUAGGUCUGCUAACCAGAGAGGGCGGCUCGACCGAAGGGAACACGGCCUUCGUCUACGACCCGAGAGGGAAAUGCAUGGGCACCCUCACCCUGCAACGCCUGGAGACCCUCAAAGUGUGAUACCAACACACGAUCGACACUUACCCGGAGGUGCACAGAAGCCUGUCCUCCCAGGGCGGCUUCACCGAGGACGUCGCGCGCCUCCUCCUGCGGUACGGAAAGGACCCCGACGGGCGUGAAACGAAAGGCCCGCCACGGUCGCAGGCGACCAUGAGCAGAAAACUGCGCUGUACGCUGAUUGAUGCCCUGCGCGCCCUGGAUGCCGGUCCAGUCAUCGAAAGGUUCUCAUCCCCGCUUAACUGCGGUGAAGAGGUGCAAUACUACUUCAGUGUCCACAUAGAAGACCAACUCUUCGGGGGCAAACAUAGAUGCAUUCUCUCAGCCAUUUACAGGCCUCUCGAUAGCACACCCGAACCCUGACCCCACCAGUGUCAAGAAGGCAGUAAUGUGGGCAGUCGCAGGCGCAUCACACACAAUGACAUCCGCACUGCCCACCGCCACUACUCAUUGUCCCGCACAGCCGAACUGGCCCCCACACGCAGCUACACAACACACCGUAUGUCUUCCAGCUCGCGCGGCUGAGCCGCGGUGAAGCGUGCAAGCUUACCAGCGGGACUGGAACUGACGGCCCCAGCCCUGACUACAAGGGGGGCCUGGACCUCGUCGUGGUGGCCAACGACACGGCGAUCCGAGGACUAAACGCCCGAUCCAUGAAGGCGCUCCUAUCCGAACUCGAAGCGAUGGACGCCACUGGCCUCCCCAGAAAACAUCUGCGACUGCGUCGGCACUACUCACUGCGUCGGCACCCAACGACCCUACCCAAACAAAGUCGCUCAGGUCAUGCGCAAGAUGAAUGCCUCAAAGCCGCCCAGACCAAGACCAACCGCCACAGCCCCCCACUCGGACGGACAGAUGCUCCAGCAGCGCCUGACAGCAGCUUUUCCCGGACAAGUACCACUCAGGAUGGACCCGCACACUAUCAUAUGGACCGACGGUAGCUGUAUUAAAUCGGCUGAAAACGACGGCCAGAACAAGUUGGGUGCGGCUGCAUACUGUGGACCCACCGGAAAAACGCUGCACAUCGACCCAGCGGGCGAAGGAUGUACGAAUACCAUCCAACGGGCAGAGCUGGCAGCAAUACGCGUAGCUCUAUCAACCCAAAGGGCAGUGAACAUCACCUUAACAAUUGCCACUGACUCGCAAGCCUCACUGGAUCUUAUCAAAAGAGCAGUAAACGAUCCGAGUAAACUGCAUAUUUCCAAGCACAAAGCCUUAUUAAUGGACAUCGCCGACCGUACGAAUGCGCCCAACAGAACACAACCGUUCACUUCCUGAAAGUGAAAUCGCACACAGGCCUUGAUGGUAAUGACAAAGCUGACAAAGGAGCAACAUCUGUCGCACGAGGUGAGAACCCAGCAACAUUUACUGAAAAGGCCGACAAUGCCCCGUUCGAUAAAGUGUUCUGGCUGAAACAACGCGACACUGGUCUUUACGUUAGUGACCUGAACAAAGGCCUUUAUAAGCGUCUCCAGCAAGGUACCUUCGCAGGCUAUACCAACGACACAGUGUAGUACAUUCGGUGGCUAUGGCUUCACUACAUACAUUUCUUCCUCUCGAAGCUCUGGCAGCAGUGGCUUCGUGCGCUCGGACAUGCAGAUAAGCGUUUAAAGUCACAGGCUAGCCCUGAGACUGACUUCUUGUGUCACCGAGCUGGUGGUGAUCACUAGUCGCAGGGAUUGUAAGACACAGCUGGAAUGAAGGGCCGGUAAAACAUGAGUCGAUGCGGGUGCUCACCACCACUUGCGCCAGGCACAAACGUGUCAGUCUGAGAAAUGAUCAUGAGUAACACGCGGAAGGGCUUUAAGACUAGCAGGGUUCAAGACCCACAAAGAUUGCAAAGCACGUUCGUCAGCCUGUCGGCCAAUCCCAGGUCNNNNNNNNNNNNNNNNNNNNNNNNNNNNNNNNNNNNNNNNNNNNNNNNNNGUGCGCAUUGCGUACGUUGCUCGACCCCGCCGACCAAAACUACACGUGCCCAACUGAAGACAUUCCCGGUGGUUGUGCAGCAGCUCUUGAGGCUGUUGCUGGCUGAAAUCCAUCCUGAGCUGUUGCAACACGGCUAACGCGGGCACGUCCCUAUGCACAGCAAAUAGCUGUUCCAAGCCAACGGCGGCGUCCAUGUCACCGACAAGGCUCUAAACGUCUUAUCUGUUCUUAUGUUUAAUUAAGUUUAUGUAUGUUAUACUUUGCGCAACUUUGUAAUUUGACUUUACUCUGAACAAGGUGCUGCAUACAACUGCCUCUUCGCCAGCGCUUCAUCUUCCGCGGCAGUUUCAAGAGCCCAGAGUUGCAAGCUACGACGUUGGCUUUCGGUGCUUUUAUUUACUGCAAAGCAUCCACGCAAUAGUCCAGCGUGCGGCUAUGGCCAACAUGCUCACCUGCGCAACGCGCUGGCGCACCUGGUCCUCAUCCGCCAAGAAAUUUUAUAUACAUUUGUACAGGCGCAUUUUGCGAAUCGCACGCGCGCAUCUGCGCGGCAAAAUUCGCUCCUGACUUUUGGGACGAGAUGUACGGAUUCUCUAUUCGCGAAGUACGACCGGACACAUUUGUGCGAGAGGCUGCUUAAUCACACACAGGCCUUGAUGGUAAUGACAAAGCUGACAAAGGAGCAACAUCUGUCGCACGAGGUGAGAACCCAGCAACAUUUACUGAAAAGGCCGACAAUUCCCCGUUCGAUAAAGUGUUCUGGCUGAAACAACGCGACACUGGUCUUUGCGUUAGUGACCUGAACAAAGGCCUUUAUAAGCGUCUCCAGCAAGGUACCUUCGCAGGCUAUACCAACGACACAAUACUAACUGAAAAAUGGCGUAACACCGCCUCGAAGUUAGACCCCAAAUCUAGCAAUUCCUUCCUUAGUAAUGCAAAGAUGCCACACUGGCUCAAACUGCAAGUACUGAAAGCUCGAUACGGGCUGCUAUUUAAUGCUAAGCUAAAGAAACUUUACGGACGAGGCGGAGACGGCAACUGCCCUAUCUGCCGCAGCUGCGGCCCGAACGGCCCCACACCCGACUCAGGAGCCCACAUACUCGGCGGGUGCCCCCACCCAACCAUGAAGGGCAUGUACAUCAACCGGCAUAACCAAGCGACGCGCACUAUUGCCGACUGCAUUAACGGGGGCCACCACGGUGGUGGCUUCAUGAUUAUGGAUGCCGGUAAAGAAGAGGAUCUCCCGCCGUACUGCAGUGGGACGCGCGUCCCCAAAUGGAUGCUGCCACACUUAGCGGACGAGGAAACCCGUCGCCUCCGCCCAGACAUCAUGUUCAUCCCUGACCUCCCCGCGCACAGAACCAAGCGCAAACGGUACCAGGGGCCGGAGUGCAAAUCCAAGCACGAUGUAUACAUUGUUGAAGUAGGCUACACCAGUGACCUGCAGCACUCCGACAAACUCGAACAGAAAACCGCACAGCAUGCACGGCUAACAGAGGAACUCACGAAAGCAGGCUGGACGGUGCACUACACCGAGGCACAAAUUGUCAACCUGGGAAGUACUGGGACGCUAACCAACACACUAAAACCGCUACUGUGCAGACUCGGCUCGUCCGCUGAGCAGGCCCAGAAGACCUGCCUGCACCUCCACCGGCAAACAAUCGAAGCAGCGGGCACGAUUAUCCGGGCGUGGCGAGUACUAGAGGGUACAGUCAAAUAACCGGUACAACCCGAACGGUUUCCCCACGGUGGUGCGGGCAUACAGGAGCGGCUACACCGCCCCUCAGUUCCCCACCCCCUUAACACACGCCAGGCCUCGGCCGGCGUACUAUUAUUAUUAUUAUUGAAGUGCCUGUAAAUGGGGAGUCUUGUGGGGAGGUGCGGUUCCGUGACCACUAGAGACGGCAUGGUGCUGCGGACUACAGACGGAUUGCUGCAGGUGGCCCACGGUACGGCCGGUGUACCUGUCGGUGGGCAAACAUAAAAUAUUAACAUUUGUAAACCUGAAAAGCGCUCCCAUCAGCUGUCGCCAUCAGUUGAUCGUCAUGUCCAUGCGUCCAGCGGGCUUUCACAAAAUGUAUCUGGAUGCCAGUCAACUUACAACCAAAUGAAUAUAGGAGGACAUCAUACGGUAUUUAAAUACAUGUUUCUUUUCAGUCAGAUGCGCGCGCGGGGCCCCUCUCCUGGCAGCUAGAUGAGGUGUCGAGACAGCUAGAUGAGGCUGACCGGGGUUGUCAGGCGGUCAAGAUGAGGCUCGGGGCUCAGCUAGAUGAGACAAGGGGGGGUCCCCGCGAUAUCUAGAUACUAUGUGAACUUAGAUAUUGCUUCCUCAUACUUAAAUGAGCGCGUAAGGCAGAUGCCGGCCAGGACCCCACCCCCAGAUGACAGAUGACGAACCCUGGGUGAUACCCUCCUUUUGGCGGGAUACCAGUACUGGUUCUGGAGUGAACUUCCGAGACUUUCUUUGUAUUUAUGGCAGGGUCUUGCCUUUGAUCUUCACUCUAAUCCCAGACCUAUGUAACGUAUAUCGAGGUGAUCCCUCUGUAUCCGCUGCUUGGUUUAACAUCCUGCCUUUGCAUGUUGUGCACAUGUACUAGUAGUGUGAGGAAAGAGAACUCAGCUCCUGAGCCGUAGGGUGCAGCCCAGAAAGACCCUCCCAUAUGAAGGAUGCUAUGAACUGGUUAUGUAACAGACACACACACGUCAGAGGUGAUGCGACACGCUGACCCGUGUGUGUGUUUUCCGCCUAGUCCUGAACCUCAUUUGGGUUUGUUGCCUCUCAACCUCUGAAGGACCCACCCCUACAGUGGCCGCAUGGACAGGCUGUAGUGCACUCCUGCCAGGCAGUGCGCCAAGCUGUAGUAGGCACCGUACUUGUAAAACAGGGCCAGGUGCAGGCGCCCCGAGUAGGCAGGGGCCUGCAGUCCCAGGGAAACGUUGUAAUGGCGUGGGGUUAGAAAGGUGUACAGCAAGGGGGGAUUGCCCAGAAGAUGUCAGAGGGCUGUUGGACGGCGAGCGGGAGGAAGGGAGGGUAAGGUUACAAGUUACAAGUUCCGCACACAAGUGCGGGUGUGUCCGUAAAAGUCGGGGGGGCCAUGGACGUUGUAUUGGUAUUGCUGCGGGUAUGCAGGAGGUCAUCUUCAUUCUCCCUCGUCCGCUUCAGGGUGAAGCGCCUCAGCGCGACGUGCCUGGCCUCCCAAAUUUCCGAGAGGUACCUGGCCAAUGCCAGGGGUGGCGCCUCAGUCAUAGUGGUGUGCAUGCUGCGCCCCGUAAGGACUAGGUCACCAUCAUACUUAGCCUGUAUGCUCUUGUAAGCGGGACAAUAGUAAGGAAAGGGGUGCAGGCUGCAAGGGUGUUGCAUGCAGGCUGUGGCUAUUGACAGAGGCCGGAGGUUUUAGGUUUUGUGGGUAUGACGUCUCAAAUAGGGCUUAGGUCUUUUCAAGGGCUUUAUUACUUCAAGAGAACCAAUCGGGGUGAUUGUGUUGGGAUGGCUUUGUGUUGAUGAUUGUGUAUGGAUAGCUUUACCGACUUGGCCUCAAUUUAAAACCUCCACGGCUGCAACACUAAUGCGAGACGAGCCCGUGUUAUAAGAGCUCACUUUCAUACUUUCGCAUUUCGGACCAACAUGACGGACCCACAUCACCCACGAGCCCUGGACCCGCCUUAAUCGCGGCCAGGACAGUACCAGCCACCACCAGCUCCGAGACCAUCAUGCUGCAACAGCUGCCAAAAACACCCGCAGCCAACCCCGACUGCUUGGUGCUCGUCCUCCUCCUUCUCCUCCUCCGUCACCAGAUCCAGCACCCACUCCUUGACGGGUUGCCGCCACCACCGCCACCGCUGCAGAUGCUGUUGCCACUGAGCCAGGCCCCCUGCCGGCUUCCCGCCCCGAAACCUGGUGCAAGGCCUCCGCUGCCGCCGCCGCCGCGUCCUCAACCAGAUUUGACCCCCACGUUGUUUCUGUCGCGGCNNNNNNNNNNNNNNNNNNNNNNNNNNNNNNNNNNNNNNNNNNNNNNNNNNCUCACCCGCAUCACGGACGUCACCCGCACCACGGACGUCACCCACAUCACGGACGUCACCCACAUCACCGACGUCACCCGCAUCACGGACGUCACCCGCAUCACUGACGUCACCCGCAACACUGACGUCACCCGCACCACGGACAUCACCCGCAUCACCGACGUCACCCGCAUCACCGACGUCACCCGCACCACUGACGUCACAUACAUCACGUACGUCACCCGCACCACGUUCGUCACCCACAUCAACGACGUCACCCGCAUCACGGACGUCACCCGCAUCACGGACGUCACCCGCAUCACGGACGUCACCCGCAUCACGGACGUCACCCGCACCACGGACGUCACCCGCAUCACGGACGUCACCUGCAUCACGGACGUCACCCGCAUCACCGACGUCACCCGCAUCACCGACGUCACCCGCAUCACCGACGUCACCCGCACCACGGACGUCACCCGCAUCACGGACAUCACCCGCAUCAUGGACGUCACCCGCAUCACGGACGUCACCCGCAUCACCGACGUCACCCGCACCACGGACGCCAUCCGCAUCACCGACGUCACCCACAUCACGGACGUCACCCGCAUCACGGACAUCACCCGCAUCACCGACGUCACCCGCAUCAGCGACGUCACCCGCAUCACCGACGUCACCNNNNNNNNNNNNNNNNNNNNNNNNNNNNNNNNNNNNNNNNNNNNNNNNNNGCGUACCCCAUACCCACACCAUCCGAGACCCCCCACAUCCCCUUUUCAGCCUCAUUCAGCCCCCCAUCCUGAGUGUACGGCACUUGUGCCGGCGACAACACACAAUGCGACAACGGCACCUCCGCUCUGGCAUUGCGCGACGUUGAGCAACGUCGCACCGAGGGCCACCACCGCCACCACACACACCGCCCAGCUACAGCCACAGCCACAGAUGGAAAGGUAUAACCAACAGCCUGCCGCUCUCACUCCAAAGAACAACUCCCAGAAAUCUACAUUCAAACGAUUUCAUUCAUUAUAUUUUAUAUAAUUUAUAUUUUCCUCCUCGUACAUCGUUUCCAUCCUUGUAUAUAAGCUUCUGUCCGUUGCCGGAUCAUAAUAAUAAAAACCAACCUCUGCAACCAUUAAUUAACAACUCCCCGCCACCUGUAAACUCCGUCCCGAGCGGAGCGACGAGCCGAUCAAUACCUUUUCCUCGAAGUGUGAAGAUUCCAGAGAGAUUCGUUGCUUUUACGGCAGUGCCGUACCGUACACGUCACCACAUCAAACAUGCUGCGUGAUUCCUGCUUGCUGGAUCUGGACCUGAAUCUGGAAUCUACGUAGCCUGACUCACCUUUUUGAGUUUUAAACACACAUCGCCUGGAUCUGGAUUUCGAUCUGGAACUGAAUCCUGCCAGGACGCACCCGUACACAAUCUUUGCCUGUCUUCCCCGCCCAUCUCCGCCCAUCGGCGCGCAGAUUUAUACCACAGAUAAACUACUGUUCACAUAAUCUCUAUAUAUAGUAUAGCCGUUUUGGUGAUGUGUACGUCGUUGUACGUCGGCGGCGGGCCAGAUGGGCCCCCUAGGGAUUCGUUCCGUCGUAUGUCUGUCUGUCUGUCUGUCUGUCUUACGCACUGCUGGCCCCGGCUCCGUGACCUUGCGUCGACGGCAGCAUACUCGACCCCGUGAAGGAGUCCCCUGCUGCUCCUGUCGCUAGAGAGCCCAGCUCUGGAGGGGGAGGAGGAGGGGGAGGAGCAGGAGGCGGAGGAGGACCAGGACCAGGAGCAGGAGCACGUUGCAAGACCGGACUGAUGAGAGCCGCCGGCAUGCGCUGCGCCGGAUGCGGUGGCGGCGGCGGCGGCGGCGGUGGCAACAUCAACGGUGAUGACGGCGGCGUCGCCACCGGCACUGCCGUCGCGACGGCGGCCAUGAGGCGCUCCAGGUGCGCCUCCACAAGGAUCGCUGGCGGCCUGUUUUGGGGCUGACGUUGCAAGCAAUGAAGCGCCACUGCCCGGUAGGUCUCCGGGCACGAGGGUGGGAAGGCGGGGAAGAUGCUGCUAUAGCGGGGGCCUUGGUCGGUGCGGAUGCCGGCGCGGCGGCCGUGGUAGAGCUCCCAUAGCAUCACACCCAGCGAGAACACUUGNNNNNNNNNNNNNNNNNNNNNNNNNNNNNNNNNNNNNNNNNNNNNNNNNNAGCCUCAUUCAGCCCCCCAUCCUGAGUGUACGGCACUUGUGCCGGCGACAACACACAAUGCGACAACGGCACCUCCGCUCUGGCAUUGCGCGACGUUGAGCAACGUCGCACCGAGGGCCACCACCGCCACCACACACACCGCCCAGCCACAGCUACAGCCACAGCCACAGAUGGAAAGGUAUAACCAACAGCCUGCCGCUCUCACUCCAAAGAACAACUCCCAGAAAUCUAUAUUCAAACGAUUUCAUUCAUUAUAUUUUAUAUAAUUUAUAUUUUCCUCCUCGUACAUCGUUUCCAUCCUUGUAUAUAAGCUUCUGUCCGUUGCCGGAUAAUAAUAAUAAAAACCAACCUCUGCAACCAUUAAUUAACAGCUCCCCGCCACCUGUAAACUCCGUCCCGAGCGGAGCGACGAGCCGAUCAACACCUUUUCCUCGAAGUGUGAAGAUUCCAGAGAGAUUCGUUGCUUUUACGGCAGUGCCGUACCGUACACGUCACCACAUCAAACAUGCUGCGUGAUUCCUGAUUGCUGGAUCUGGACCUGAAUCUGGAAUCUACGUAGCCUGACUCACCUUUUUGAGUUUUAAACAUACAUCGCCUGGAUCUGGAUUUCGAUCUGGAACUGAAUCCUGCCAGGAUGCACCCGUACACAAUCUUUGCCUGUCUUCCCCGCCCAUCUCCGCCCAUCGGCGCGCAGAUUUAUACCACAGAUAAACUACUGUUCACAUAAUCUCUAUAUAUAGUAUAGCCGUUUUGGUGAUGUGUACGUCGUUGUACGUCGGCGGCGGGCCAGAUGGGCCCCCUAGAUUUUCGUUCCGUCGUAUGUAUGUAUGUAUGUAUGUCUUACGCACUGCUGGCCCCGGCUCCGUGACCUUGCGUCGACGGCAGCAUACUCGACCCCGUGAAGGAGUCCCCUGCUGCUCCUGUCGCUAGAGAGCCCAGCUCUGGAGGGGGAGGAGGAGGGGGAGGAGCAGGAGGCGGAGGAGGACCAGGAGCACGUUGCAAGACCGGACUGAUGAGAGCCGCCGGCAUGCGCUGCGGCGGAUGCGGCGGCGGCGGCGGCGGUGGCAACAUCAACGGUGAUGACGGCGGCGUCGCCACCGGCACUGCCGUCGCGACGGCGGGCAUGAGGCGCUCCAGGUGCGCCUCCACAAGGAUCGCUGGCGGCCUGUUUUGGGGCUGACGUUGCAGGCAGUGAAGCGCCACUGCCCGGUAGGUCUCCGGGCACGAGGGUGGGAAGGCGGGGAAGAUGCUGCUAUACCGGGGACCUUGGUCGGUGCAGAUGCCGGCGCGGCGGCCGUGGUAGAGCUCCCAUAGCAUCACACCCAGCGAGAACACUUGGGUGGUUGCAUGUAUGUAUGUGUGUGUGGGGGGGUAGGUUUGUGUGUUGUGUGUGGNGNGGGGAGGUAGGGGUAUAGCGGUGUAGUGAUGUAGACGACGACAAGCGGGACGGGAAGGGGCGGAAAGGGGGGAGGGGAGGGGAGGGGGAAGGAGGCCGGUCAGGGAGCGGCAGAGAGAGAGAGAGAGAGGGAAAGGUAAGGGGAAGGGGAAGGGGGAAAUCGGAAAUGGGAGAGCAGCUGGAUUAGAAUGGCACCUGGAUUCGAAACGGCGACUUCAGACAACGACGGACCGACAGCAGCAAUCUUCAUGUGAACAUUGCUGCUGCUGCCUGUUCGCGCCACUACUCUGCUACGGCUGCCCAACGUUUCCAACCACCCACUCACCGUCUGAUGGCGGCCCGACUUGGCCCUGAAGAUGGUGGUGGCGGUGGGGCGGGUGGUGAUGGUGGGUCCAACAGCGGCCCCAGCAAAGCCAAGUUAUCAAGCGCAGGGGAAAAAAAGAGGGAGAGUAUUCUCACGAAGGGAAGAGAAGACAAAAAGUUUGCAGAAAGUAGAACCUUAUGUUAAAUCAAACGCGUACGGUCUUACGAACGAAACUCUAUAGACCCGGUGUCCGAUUUUUAUUAGUUUCAAUAUUACAUAGAAAAGAGGACGGCAGGGGACGGGACGAAGAAGGGACCGCAAUUCAACGCGCAAAUUAAGAAUCAGCUGCCAAAGUCCUAAAGCGACGUCGGGAGUGUUGUGUGUAUGAGCGUUUGCAUGUGUGUAUGUACGUAUGUAUGCGUGACGGCAAAGGCCACAAGCUGCAGGGAAAAGUAAAGACGAGCAACCCCGUAGAUUACCCCUUCAACUGUAAUAAUACUUCCAGACAGUCGUCGUGCUGUGCUGUGCUGUGCUGUGCUGUGAUGCAAUCAUACGUGCAUUCAUGCGUUCCUUCAUGCACAUGUACUUUUUGAUAAUAAAUAUGGAAGAGUUGACUGUGAGAUUGCCGCGUCUGUAAAAAUGGUCCUGUUGUCGUACCCUGUCGUACCUUCAUGACUACUGCAGGGCACAUGUAAAACAUGGUGCCCAUGCGCAAGUUGCUCAGGUGGGUUCGAUUUUGAGGCAGCAUUACACUGCGGUGGGGUGAGUGGGGAGUGGGGAGAGGCAAGGGGGUGGGAGGGNNNNNNNNNNNNNNNNNNNNNNNNNNNNNNNNNNNNNNNNNNNNNNNNNNNNNNNNNNNNNNNNNNNNNNNNNNNNNNNNNNNNNNNNNNNNNNNNNNNNNNNNNNNNNNNNNNNNNNNNNNNNNNNNNNNNNNNNNNNNNNNNNNNNNNNNNNNNNNNNNNNNNNNNNNNNNNNNNNNNNNNNNNNNNNNNNNNNNNNNNNNNNNNNNNNNNNNNNNNNNNNNNNNNNNNNNNNNNNNNNNNNNNNNNNNNNNNNNNNNNNNNNNNNNNNNNNNNNNNNNNNNNNNNNNNNNNNNNNNNNNNNNNNNNNNNNNNNNNNNNNNNNNNNNNNNNNNNNNNNNNNNNNNNNNNNNNNNNNNNNNNNNNNNNNNNNNNNNNNNNNNNNNNNNNNNNNNNNNNNNNNNNNNNNNNNNNNNNNNNNNNNNNNNNNNNNNNNNNNNNNNNNNACACAAGUCUCGGGUUGUCGGCGACUUCCGAGCGACGAAGCGAAGUAAGGGGCGGAAGAGGCCCGGCAGGAAGGGGGCCUAGGCAUCGACCCCGGUGGCCGACAUAAUCUUUUGCCACACAGCAGAGCGAUAGCUUUUUUUAUAUAGCUACCACGACUGCUCCCUUAAUGAUGUAACUGUCUCUCUAGAAAGUUAAUAAGAAAUUAUCAUGCAAAAUUGAAAAAAAAACAAAAAAAAACAUCCUCCCCCUCCUCCUCUUCAUCAUCCCCGGCCCCACAGCCACCGCCCCACCCCCACCUCAGGCCGAAGUCCCCAACCUUGACGAUGUACCCGGACGGCUCGUUCACGUCCCGCUUGAGCAACACGUUAUUCGGGUUUAGGUCUGUUGGAAGGAGGCGGGAAAAAGCGGGGGGAGGACCGCCAAUGUUAUUCAGUGUGCGGCGGCGUACUACUGUCCCCAGCACCUUCUCCGAUUCCUCCUCAUCCUUCUCACCACCCAUGCCGACUUUUGCCGACCAUCGGUGGUGACUUUUUCGGAUCCGCGGCGGCCCCCCCCCACACCACCACCACCACCAGCACGACCAGUAGCACGACCAGUAGCAUCCAGUGGAAUCUGCACACACACACAUACACGCUAUACGUCCCACCUCACUCACCUCCGUGGAUGAUUCUUUUGGAGUGGAGGUGAGAUAAGGCCCUCGCGAUGCCCAGUGCUAGACCAACCACCGCAGGCUAGGGAAGGAAAAGCAUCAGUACAGCAGUAACAGCAACAGUAGUAGCAGCAGCAGUAGCAAAAUCAAUGGCAGCAGCAGUAAGAGCAACAGUAACAACAGCAGCAGCAGUACGAGCAGCAGUAGGGGAUGUGCAUGAGGCACAGGAGGCACAACAUGGGAUGUGGAAAUACAUUUUAAAGACUGGGGCGACUACGAGGAAAACCAGGGCAGAUUGGAGUUUUAGAGCAGGGAUAGGAGCGAGGGAUGUGAACGGUAUCGUUGAGUCGCGAACACUUAUCUUGUGAACUGUUUACCGUACACUGUGUGUGUGGGGGGGGGGAGGGGGUUUGGGGGGUUUGGGGAUCAAAGGCAAGGAAUGGAACAAGGAAUGAGAACUUCGGUAACCCCUUGGUCUUCUUCCCCGAAGGCGCUACCCCGGGGUGUACUGCCGGCGUUCAAAGUGCAAAACUGCCAAGGGAGUCCUAGGGAGGGGGAUUUAGGGUUUUAAAAUCUAUCUUUAAAAAACCCUAAAACCUUAAGGAGGGGGUUGGGAAAGAGAGAUGAGAUGAGAUUUACGACUUCCUGUUGUCAAGCUCUCUUUUUGGCAAUACCCCUCACGUCAACUGAUGAUGGACAGACAGACAGACAGAUGGCGACGGAACCCACAAAUACUCUCUCUCUCUCUCUCACCAAGUUNNNNNNNNNNNNNNNNNNNNNNNNNNNNNNNNNNNNNNNNNNNNNNNNNNNNNNNNNNNNNNNNNNNNNNNNNNNNNNNNNNNNNNNNNNNNNNNNNNNNNNNNNNNNNNNNNNNNNNNNNNNNNNNNNNNNNNNNNNNNNNNNNNNNNNNNNNNNNNNNNNNNNNNNNNNNNNNNNNNNNNNNNNNNNNNNNNNNNNNNNNNNNNNNNNNNNNNNNNNNNNNNNNNNNNNNNNNNNNNNNNNNNNNNNNNNNNNNNNNNNNNNNNNNNNNNNNNNNNNNNNNNNNNNNNNNNNNNNNNNNNNNNNNNNNNNNNNNNNNNNNNNNNNNNNNNNNNNNNNNNNNNNNNNNNNNNNNNNNNNNNNNNNNNNNNNNNNNNNNNNNNNNNNNNNNNNNNNNNNNNNNNNNNNNNNNNNNNNNNNNNNNNNNNNNNNNNNNNNNNNNNNNNNNNNNNNNNNNNNNNNNNNNNNNNNNNNNNNNNNACUCCUCCCACUCUUCAGUUCUACGUCUGGUACACACUUGCCCUGGCAGCAGCUUCACUCGUGUGUGGUUCGUCUUUCCCCCCCUCCCCCCCCUCUUCCCCCCCCUCACCACCACGUUAGGGUGGCUGAUGCUGGCACACAGCGCCGCCUCC